CCCGGAAGGGAGCAGCAGCACCUUGUCCAUCGCUGUGGCGGACGUCGACGGGGA
rnacentral:SRP_RNA from 12 species